rnacentral:rRNA from 1 species
AGAGUUUGAUCAUGGCUCAGAUUGAACGCUGGCGGCAUGCCUUACACAUGCAAGUCGAACGGCAGCACGGGGGCAACCCUGGUGGCGAGUGGCGAACGGGUGAGUAAUACAUCGGAACGUGUCCUGUAGUGGGGGGAUAGCCCGGCGAAAGCCGGAUUAAUACCGUAUACGCUCUACGGAGGAAAGGGGGGGAUCUUCGGACCUCUCGCUACAGGGGCGGCCGAUGGCAGAUUAGCUAGUUGGUGGGGUAAAGGCCUACCAAGGCGACGAUCUGUAGCUGGUCUGAGAGGACGACCAGCCACACUGGGACUGAGACACGGCCCAGACUCCUACGGGAGGCAGCAGUGGGGAAUUUUGGACAAUGGGCGCAAGCCUGAUCCAGCAAUGCCGCGUGUGUGAAGAAGGCCUUCGGGUUGUAAAGCACUUUUGUCCGGAAAGAAAACGUCGUGGUUAAUACCCGUGGCGGAUGACGGUACCGGAAGAAUAAGCACCGGCUAACUACGUGCCAGCAGCCGCGGUAAUACGUAGGGUGCAAGCGUUAAUCGGAAUUACUGGGCGUAAAGCGUGCGCAGGCGGUCCGCUAAGACAGAUGUGAAAUCCCCGGGCUUAACCUGGGAACUGCAUUUGUGACUGGCGGGCUAGAGUAUGGCAGAGGGGGGUAGAAUUCCACGUGUAGCAGUGAAAUGCGUAGAGAUGUGGAGGAAUACCGAUGGCGAAGGCAGCCCCCUGGGCCAAUACUGACGCUCAUGCACGAAAGCGUGGGGAGCAAACAGGAUUAGAUACCCUUGUAGUCC